rnacentral:snRNA from 1 species
AGACGUAAGGGUGACCUGAUGAUGAUAUCUGUGGUUCCAUUGAUCACCAAGGUUGAUACAGCUGGUUGGGGUGGCUGGGGAGGGCGGAAAGACACCUUCCUCCUUCUGUUCCAAGUGCAUCCCUCCUGAAUCUGUGCCCUCUGAGGAUGAGAAGGAUCUUCCUGGAUGGAGAGGACCAUUCUUCAGUCAAGGAUAGGAGUACUGUGCUCCCUACUAGAAGCUCCAAACAGCUGUCAAGGUCAGGAACAUGACACAGGGAGACGCCUACUGUCACCAUCCUUUUAAACAUUGAGCUAG